AUGAACGCUGGCGGCGUGCUUAACACAUGCAAGUCGAACGGAAAGGCCCAAGCUUGCUUGGGUACUCGAGUGGCGAACGGGUGAGUAACACGUGGGUGAUCUGCCCUGCACUUCGGGAUAAGCCUGGGAAACUGGGUCUAAUACCGGAUAGGACCACAUUUUGGAUGGUGUGGUGGAAAGUUUUUCGGUGUGGGAUGAGCUCGCGGCCUAUCAGCUUGUUGGUGGGGUAAUGGCCUACCAAGGCGUCGACGGGUAGCCGGCCUGAGAGGGUGUACGGCCACAUUGGGACUGAGAUACGGCCCAGACUCCUACGGGAGGCAGCAGUGGGGAAUAUUGCACAAGGGGCGCAAGCCUGAUGCAGCGACGCCGCGUGGGGGAUGACGGCCUUCGGGUUGUAAACUCCUUUCGCUAGGGACGAAGCGUUAUGUGACGGUACCUGGAGAAGAAGCACCGGCUAACUACGUG
rnacentral:rRNA from 1 species